AGCGAACGCUGGCGGCAGGCUUAACACAUGCAAGUCGAGCGCCCCGCAAAGGGAGCGGCAGACGGGAGAGUAACACGUGGGAACAUACCUUUUGGUUCGGAACAACUGAGGGAAACUUCAGCUAAUACCGGAUAAGCCCUUACGGGGAAAGAUUUAUCGCCGAAAGAUUGGCCCGCGUCUGAUUAGCUAGUUGGUGAGGUAACGGCUCACCAAGGCGACGAUCAGUAGCUGGUCUGAGAGGAUGAUCAGCCUCACUGGGACUGAGACACGGCCCAGACUCCUACGGGAGGCAGCAGUGGGGAAUAUUGGACAAUGGGGGCAACCCUGAUCCAGCCAUGCCGCGUGAGUGAUGAAGGCCUUAGGGUUGUAAAGCUCUUUUGCCCGGGAAGAUAAUGACGGUACCGGGAGAAUAAGCCCCGGCUAACUUCGUG
rnacentral:rRNA from 1 species